rnacentral:rRNA from 1 species
UACGUAGGGUGCAGGCGUUAAUCGGAAUUACUGGGCGUAAAGCGUGCGCAGGCGGUCUCUUAAGACAGGUGUGAAAGCCCUGGGCUUAACCUGGGAAUUGCAGUCGAAACUACUCGGCUAGAGUAUGGGAGAGGACAGUGGAAUUCCCGGUGUAGCGGUGAAAUGCGUAGAUAUUGGAAAGACCACCGAUGGCGAAGGCACUCUACUGGGCCAUUACUGACACUGAGAGACGAAAGCUAGGGGAGCAAAUGGG